rnacentral:rRNA from 1 species
CCUACGGUGGGCAGCAGUGGGGAAUAUUGCACAAUGGGGGAAACCCUGAUGCAGCGACGCCGCGUGAGUGAAGAAGUAUUUCGGUUUGUAAAGCUCUCUCAGCAGGGAAGAAGAAAGACGGUACCUGACUAAGAAGCCCCGGCUAACUACGUGUCAGCAGCCGCGGUUAUACGUAGGGGGCAAGCGUUAUCCGGAUUUACUGGGUGUACAGGGAGCGUAGACGGCGGUGCAAGUCUGAAGUGAAAGACCAGGGCUCAACCCUGGGAGUGCUUUGGAUACUGUGGAGCUAGAGUCCUGGAGAGGGAAGGGGAAUUCCUAGUGUAGCGGUGAAAUGCGUAGAUAUUAGGAGGAACACCAGUGGCGAAGGCGGCUUACUGGACAGUAACUGACGUUGAGGCUCGAAAGCGUGGGGAGCAAACAGGAUUAGAUACCCCAGUAGUC